rnacentral:rRNA from 1 species
GAUGAACGCUGGCGGCGUGCCUAAUACAUGCAAGUCGAACGCUGGAAAUCUAGCUUGCUAGAUUGAAGGAGUGGCGAACGGGUGAGUAAUACAUAAGCAACCUACCCACGAAGACUGGGAUAAUCUCUGGAAACGGGGACUAAUACCGGAUAGGUAAUCGGAAGGCAUCUUCUGAUUAUUAAAGGUUAAAAACACUGGUGGAUGGGCUUAUGGCGCAUUAGUUAGUUGGUGAGGUAACGGCCCACCAAGACGAUGAUGCGUAGCCGGCCUGAGAGGGUGAACGGCCACAUUGGGACUGAGACACGGCCCAGACGCCUACGGGAGGCAGCAGUAGGGAAUUUUCGGCAAUGGGGGAAACCCUGACCGAGCAACGCCGCGUGAGUGAUGACGGCCUUCGGGUGGUAAAGCUCUGUUGUAAGGGAAGAACGGUAGAUAGAGAAUAUCUAAAUGACGGUACCUUACCAGAAAGCCACGGCUAACUACGU